GUGUCAGCCGCCGCGGUAAUACGUAGGUGGCGAGCGUUGUCCGGAAUUAUUGGGCGUAAAGGGUGCGUAGGCGGUUUUUUAAGCGGGAUGUGAAAUACCUAGGCUUAACUUAGGAAUGGCAUUCCAAACUGGAGGACUAGAGUGCAGGAGAGGAAAGUGGAAUUCCCAGUGUAGCGGUGAAAUGCGUAGAGAUUGGGAGGAACACCAGUGGCGAAGGCGACUUUCUGGACUGUAACUGACGCUGAGGCACGAAAGCGUGGGGAGCAAACAGGAUUAGAUACCCUAGUAGUCC
rnacentral:rRNA from 1 species